rnacentral:lncRNA from 1 species
CAGAUUAUCUCUACCAAUAUACAUCUUUUUUAGAUAAGAAAUUACUAUUAAAACUGUCAAACAGAAUCCAACCCAAAUUUUUUACAUGGGCUUUGACCAAGGUCCAUCAUUAGCAACCAAAUAGAAAAAAAUUGAGAAUACAAGCAGGUGGAAAAGAAUAGCUAAUUCUUAUCGGAUUGGUUCUAUCUUGAAAAGCCAAAAGUUUUCUGCCCCC